CAUGACCUCUUUGGUAAACGUCCAGUUCCAAAAAUAUUUACAUUACAAUUCAUAACAGUAGAGAAUGCUGCCACCUCCUCCCAUGCAGCAACCCUGUCCUCAGUUUCAGCCGCACAGGUUGAAUCCACCAAAGUGAUGGUUAUGGAGACACCUAGUCCCCUGCUGGUCCGGCAGGAGUUUGUGGGAUAGUACUACACCCUGCUGAACCAGGCCCCGGACAUGCUGCAAAGAUUUUGUGGAGAGAACACUUCCUAUGCCCAUGAGGGCUUAUAUUCCAAGGGGAAGCCAGCAGAUGCAGUCUAUGGGCAGAAGGAAAUCCACAGAAAGUGAUGUCACAAAACUUUACCAACUGCCACACCAAGAUCCGCCAUGUGGAUGCUUACACAACUCUGAAUGAUGGCGUGGUGGUCAAAAUGAUGGGGCUACUGUUCAACAACAACCAGGCUCUGUAGAGUUCAUGCAGACCUUUGUCCUUGCUCCUGAGGGCUCUGUUGCCAACAAAUUCUAUGUUCAUGACAACUUCAUAUACCAAGAUGAGGUCUUCAGUGGCUUUGUUACAGAUCCUCAAGAGGAAUCUGAGGAAGAAAUAAAGGAACCCAAAGAAAAACAGCAGAAACCAGAGGUGGUGCCUGAUGAUUCUUGAACUUUCUAUGAUCAGACUGUCAGCAAUGACAUGGAGGAGCAUUUAGAAGAGCCUGUUGUGGAACCGGAACCAGAGCCGGAGCCGGAGCCAGAGCCAGAGCUGAAGCCAGAGCCGGAGCCAGAGCCAGAGCCGGAACUUGUGCCCGACCUUCAAGAGGACAAGCCUAAGUGUGCAGUGGAAGAAGCUGCUCUCAAAGAUGUGCAGAACAGCACUUCCCCUGCCCUGGCAGACAUAGCCACAGCACAGGAGGAUUUGAGGACAUUUUUCUUGGGCAUCUGUGACUAGUAAGAGCCUUCCUCCCAGUGGGGCUGUUCCAGUGACAGGGACUCCACCUCAUAUGGUCAAAGUGCCAGCAUCACAACCCCAUCCAGAAUCUAAGCCUGACUCUCAGAUCCCACCCCAAAGGCCUCAGAGAGAUCAGAGAGUUUGAGAGCAAUGGAUCAAUAUCCCUCCUCAGAGAGGGCCCUAGUCAAUCUGUAAGGCUGGUGAACCAGGAGAUGUGGAACCUUGAAGGAUGGUGAGGUGCCCUGACAGCAUUAGAAACCUGCCACAUGAGGUUGACAAGUCGGAACUGAAAGAUUUUUUUCCAAAAUUAUGGGAACGUGGAGCUGCACAUAAACAGUGGUGGGAAGUUACCCAAUUUUGGUUUUGUUGUUUGAUGAUUCUGAACCUGUUCAGAAGGUCCUUAUUAAUAGGUCCAUCAUGUUCUGAGGCACUGUCUGCCUGAGUGUGGAAGAGAAGGCUUAAGCUCCCAGGGAAGGCAACUGCAGGGAUAACUGCCUUCAGGAACCUGGAGGUCCCCCUCCUGCCCCCUAUGGUAGGCUGAAUGGUGGGAUGAGAGGCCCUCCUCCUGGAGGCAUGGUGCAGAAACCAGACGUUGGUGUGGGCAGGGGAUUACAACUCCAAGGCAGUGAAUUGCUUGGCUCAGAUCUCCACACAGCCCCGGCUCCUGCAGAAUGGUGGAUUCCUUCAACCAGCCUUUGGUGUCUCGGAGUAGUCUAUUAUAAACUGCUUGAAUUUGUACAAUUUUAAUUUCACUUGUGUCCAUGGUGUGCGCUCCCCAAGCCCUUUCUUCCCUUGACCCGUUAGUCGGUCAUUCCCAGUUCUCCAGAAUGAUACUUUAGGAGGAAUAGAUCUGUAAAGAAGAAGAGG